GACAUGCAGAGAACUUCCAGAGAUGGAUUGGUGCCUUCGGGAACUCUGACACAGGUGCUGCAUGGCUGUCGUCAGCUCGUGUCGUGAGAUCGUUGGUUAAGUCCCGUAACGAGCGCAACCCUUGUCCUUAGUUACCAGCACGUUAUGGUGGGCACUCUAAGGAGACUGCCGGUGACAAACCGGAGGAAGGUGGGGAUGACGUCAAGUCAUCAUGGCCCUUACGGCCUGGGCUACACACGUGCUACAAUGGUCGGUACAAAGGGUUGCCAAGCCGCGAGGUGGAGCUAAUCCCAUAAAACCGAUCGUAGUCCGGAUCGCAGUCUGCAACUCGACUGCGUGAAGUCGGAAUCGCUAGUAAUCGUGAAUCAGAAUGUCACGGUGAAUACGUUCCCGGGCCUU
rnacentral:rRNA from 1 species